rnacentral:ncRNA from 1 species
AGAACUACAGAAUCGAGAUAUGGAACGAUAGGGUAACGCCUUGAAACAUAUCCAUUAAUACUCCGACUGGCAUUUUGACGAAAGUUAGUUUGUCAGAAGCUCGGUGAAGUCGGCAGAAGUAGUCCUAAACAAACGAAAUAAUCGAAGUAAGAUUGGUACAAAAGCGGUCAGAACCCGCCUGUUGGAAAAGAUUAAAGUAGAACGCAUGGACUAUGAUAUGUCGGAUGUCUAUAAA